UGGGGAAUUUUGGACAAUGGGCGAAAGCCUGAUCCAGCAAUGCCGCGUGUGUGAAGAAGGCCUUCGGGUUGUAAAGCACUUUUGUCCGGAAAGAAAUCCUUGGCUCUAAUACAGUCGGGGGAUGACGGUACCGGAAGAAUAAGCACCGGCUAACUACGUGCCAGCAGCCGCGGUAAUACGUAGGGUGCAAGCGUUAAUCGGAAUUACUGGGCGUAAAGCGUGCGCAGGCGGUUUGCUAAGACCGAUGUGAAAUCCCCGGGCUCAACCUGGGAACUGCAUUGGUGACUGGCAGGCUAGAGUAUGGCAGAGGGGGGUAGAAUUCCACGUGUAGCAGUGAAAUGCGUAGAGAUGUGGAGGAAUACCGAUGGCGAAGGCAGCCCCCUGGGCCAAAUACUGACGCUCAUGCACGAAAGCGUGGGGAGCAAACAGGAUUAGAUACCCUGGUAGUCCACGCCCUAAAACGAUGUCAACUAGUUGUUGGGGAUUCAUUCCUUAGUAACGUAGCUAACGCGUGAAGUUGACCGCCUGGGGAGUACGGUCGCAAGAUUAAAACUUAAAGGAAUUGACGGGGUCAUAGCUG
rnacentral:rRNA from 1 species